UUUUAUUCUUCUUGUUCUGUCCGUCUCCCCCUCUCGUUCUUCACUCUCCCUCCCCUGUUGAUGAGAAGCAAAAGAAAAUCACAAUUUCUUUCCACGAACUCCGAAAACCCAUUUAUGGGAUUGAAAUGGUUGUUCUAAGAAAUUGUCACUUGUUCUUUCAAGACGUGGUGAUUGAUUUAUGUUGCUAUCUGCGUUACGAGUUUGGAGCUAGCUCGAUGCAGUAAGCCGGAAAGCUUACGAUAAGGGAGUUAUGGACACAAUAUUGGGCAUAACCCUUGUGACUGUUGUCUACUGAAAUUGUUGCGAAGCACUGGAAGCACCAAUUCAGCUGGAAAGGAACUUUAUCCUAAUUUUAGAACCAAGUGCGUCAAAUAUAAUUUGGAGUAACGAAAGGCUGUACAAGAUAUGUGGCUGGAAUCGCAUUCACUUGGAAGUUUUGACACUAAUUGGGUUUCACUGGAUGCACGAAUUUUUCUCACCAACCGUUUGAUGAAAACUCUGAGGAUCGGGAUGGAUACAGGUACCUCCUUUUCUUCUUCGAACUAUCCAGGUUUUAGAAGAAUUGACGUAGGCCAAGCAAAAUCGAGUUUAAAAGGAAGUGAUUGCGGAUUAUUGACAAACAAGCAAGACCUCGAGAUACGGACCUCCAAUAUGGUGAUCAUGUUUCCACGACAUCAAAGCUUGGAAAAGGCAACUUAUGAAAUGGAAUUUUAAAGGCAAGAAUGGUAUCGCAAACUAUAUUGAGGCUCGAGUCUAACCCACGCAUUUGUUGCUGGGAUCGCGCAACGUGGGUGCAUGAAUCCUAAUGUUGUCGUGCCUUGCAUUUGGAAUCGAGUUGAGUGCCUUGAGUCAUAGGUUGGGUGUCAUUAACUCAUUUAGCCGUCCCUUAUAAUUAGAGAAGAGUCUAAUUAGUGUUUCCAUGCACUUGACUAAGACUAUAGUUGACUACUUGACACCUAUGUGUCACAAGAAAAGAAUGGACAUUCUCGUCGUUUCAAAGUUUUUUUGUUCGUAAAUGUAAAAAGAUAAAUUUUAUUCUUCUUGUUUUGUCCGUCUCCCCUUCUCGUUCUUCAAUCUCCCCCUGCUGAUGAGAAGCAAAAGAAAAUCACAAUUUCUUUCCACGAACUCCGAAAACCCAUUUAUGGGAUUGAAAUGGUUAUUCUAAGAAACUAUCACUUGUUCUUUCAAGACGUGUUGAUUGAUUUAUGUUGCUAUCUGCGUUACGAGUUUGGAACUAGCUCGAUGCAGUAAGCCGGAAAGCUUACGAUAAGGGAGCUAUGGACAAAAUAUCGGUAUAUGUUGUUGUUCUUGUAUAUACAUAUAUCAUGGGCUGUGUUGGGUAGUUUUCCUAUGGGUGCUAAAUGAUAUUUUCUUUACAUGUAUUUCUGCCUGUACAUGUGUACAAAUUAAAGAAUAAUAUCGGGUUAGAAGGAAUAAUUUUUACACUCCU